ACGUGAGGCCGCGUCGCAGCAGUUCCGAACCGAAAGACGCGGGGAGAAGAGGAGAGGAAGGAUAACCGGAAAAGCUCCCGAGUGACAGACGGAUGCCCGGAAAUGCCUGUGUGCGCGUAGCUGCCCGCCCCUGGAGCGAGAGGAAGGGGGUGUUGGCGCUCCGCUUGGGCCUCCUUUUUGCUCUCUUGCUGCGUUCCUGGAGCGGGAGGGACUCCUGGGCCCUUCCCGGCCGAGGCGAAGGCCCGAGGACCGCGUCCUUUGUCCGAGCAUCGCCGCGGCGGCCGGGCCACACGGGAAAAUUGUUCUACACUCAGCAUUUUUCUCAAGUUUUUCAUCCACCUCCAAGAUCUACAAUUUGCUGCAGUAAGAAGUCAACCAGCCCUCAGUGAUUCAGUGAAACCGUUGCUGGAGUGCAGAACCUGGAAAAUUUAAGUGCUGAGGUCAAAAUUCAGGAUGAGCAGAUGGAAACAGAAGCAUAGUUCAGAGACUGAAUAAAGAAUUCCAAGACAUACAGCCAAGAGGAGACAGUUUGAAAACUGUACCUUUGGUUUAUUGUCCAAGGGUGGCAGAAUUAUUCCUCUUGUAAAGUGUUUCUGCUUUUUUCCUGGAGACCACUAAAAUCAUACAGGAAUGUGUUUUCAUUAAAUUGCUUUUUUUUUCCCCGUUCAUUUUCAUCGAAAUAAAAUCAAUUCACAGUAAGACUAUAUUUAAAGAGAUAUAUAAAUGUUAUGCGAAAUAUCUUUGAAGAUAAUCAGUGUGAUUGUUGUUAUUGAAUGAAAACUCACUAAUUUUUCUGCCCUUGGAUUUAAAGAUGUAACUACAAAAGCAAGACCAAACACCAAUCACUUUCUAAACUUUGAUUUUCUUAUUGUUCAGUAAAAAUGCUGCUUUACGAUGUAGUUAAAAAGGGAGUAAAAUGUGCAUUGUCUUUUUGGAGAGAUGAAUAUUGUGUCUUUAGUUUUAGUCCAGAAUGAAUUCUAACUAUCAAAAUAAGUAACUAUUAAAUCUUCAGUCUUAAGACAAUUCUGCCAGAUUUUCUUCUUCAGUGACCCUGAAGUGAUUAUUUGGGUAGUAUGCAAAUGAAAUCACAUUUUGGCAAUUUACAAAUGUAUCUAAUUCAGAUUUUCCGCAAUACCUGAUGGACAAUAAUUAUUGUAUAUGCAAAAAAAAAAAA